AACGAACGCUGGCGGCAGGCCUAACACAUGCAAGUCGAACGGAACCUUCGGGUUUAGUGGCGCACGGGUGCGGAACACGUGGGAAUGUACCCUCUGGUAAGGAAUAAUAUUUGGAAACGAAUACUAAUACCUUAUAAUAUCUUCGGAUCAAAGAUUUAUCGCCAGAGGAUCAGCCCGCGCAUGAUUAGUUUGUUGGUGAGGUAAUGGCUCACCAAGACUACGAUCAUUAGCUGGUCUGAGAGGACGAUCAGCCACACUGGUACUGAGACACGGACCAG
rnacentral:rRNA from 1 species